rnacentral:lncRNA from 1 species
AUGGGCAGCUGUGCUAAACCUGUGCCCGGCACCCCAAACCUGCCACCCCGCACUGAACACCCCAAACCAAACACCCCAUGCCAGACACCCAAAUCCUGGCCAUCCUCCCCCAGGCACCCCAAACCAAGAACUCCUGUGCCAGGAACCCCAAGCCAGCCACCCCUCACUGGGCACUCCAAACCAGCACCCACCCCAACACACACCACUCACCCUGUACCUGUCCAUGCAGGCACCCCAUUGUGGGCAUCCCAAUUCCAAGCACCCCACCGUGAUGCCAGGCACCCUAUUUUGGGCAGCCUGUCCCAAUCAUCCCACACCAGACACACCUUGCUGGGCAUCCUGUGGUGGACACUGGGCCCUGGGCACCCCAACCUGUGCCAUGUCCCCAUACCAGGCACCCUGCACUGCCCCACGUGCUGUGCACACCCUGUCCUUGUCCCCAGGGUCCCUGUCACCCCAUAUCUCUGCCCCCAAGCUGUGUCCUUUAGUGAUGGGCAGCACUGCUGUCCAAAGGGCACCUCCACGCCGUGUCCCCUAUGCUGUGCCCCCUGUGCCCAUCUGGGGCCCUUGUCAUGCCAUGUGUUCCCCCAGGCCGUGUGCUGCGGUGACAGGCAGCACUGCUGUCCCCAGGGCACCACCUGUGACCUGAUCCACUCCACCUGCACCUCCCUGGGGGGCUCUGCCCCCCUAGCAGCUCUGCCCACAGGUAAGACCCCCUCAGGGAGCAACCACCCCCUGUCGUGUCCCAGGGAGGGGACACCAGCCCUGACUGUCCCCUGUCCCCAGCUGGUGAGGUCAAGUGUGAUGAGGAGACGAGCUGUCCCGAUGGGAACACGUGCUGCAGGCUCAGCUCAGGGGCCUGGGGGUGCUGCCCCCUCGAGCAGGCCGUUUGCUGCGGGGACCACAAGCACUGCUGUCCCCGGGGCUACACCUGCAACGUGGCCACCGAGAGCUGUGAGAAGCUGCUGGCACCCACCCCGCUCCUGCCAACCCCCUCAGCCCCCCGCCAGGCCCCCUCAGCCCCCCGCCGGGCACCCCCUGUCCCACUGCGAGCUGCUGGCAUCCACCCGGGUGGCCUCGUGCCCUGCGGUGCCACUGGCUCCUGCCACGCGGGCCAGCGGUGCUGUCAGGCCCGGGGAGGUUCCUGGGGGUGCUGCCCCUUUGCCCAGGGCUCCUGCUGCUCCGAUGGCCGCCACUGCUGCCCCGCGGGGUCCCGCUGCACCGGGGGGGGCUGGGGGUGCAGUCCCCAGCGCUGGGACCUGCUCUGAUGGCACUGGGGACACCCCCACCACCACCACGCCCCAAGUGCCACCACUCCAAUAAACGGUUUCUAGGAGAAACUCCACCCAUGGUUCCUGGUGAGGGGGAAACUGAGGCGGGAGGCGGAGGCAGGGGGGAUUUUGUGUAUUUAAUAUAUUAAUGCCUCUAAGGAGCAGGCAGGACGUGCGGGCAGGUGCAGGCAGCAGCUUCCUGCCCAGCCUGGCACCUGGGGCGUUCCCCAUAGCCCCCCCUCUGCCAGCCUGGCCCCAAUGAUCCCUCUUCAUCCUCACCACGUAGAAAACGUUUAGAAACACAAGUUAAAAUCCAAAGGGGGAUGAGGGUGGGGGGACAGGGGCCCCCUGGCUCCUAUGGCAGCUUGGAGGCACCGCUGGCUCGGGGGGCAGUGCCAGCCCCCCCUGUCCUGCAGGGACACAAAAGGGGACUUGGCUCAGGACUGGGGGAACAUGGAGCAUGCAGUUCCCACCAAGAGACAGGGAGGCAGAUCGUGGUCUUGGGGAGGGAACAGGGGCAGCAGGCUCCCGUGUGGCAGAACCCGGUGGCACAGGAUGGGGGUCCCGAGCAGAUGGGGGACAGGGGUGGCCUAGGUGUGGUCACUCUGGUCCCUCUCCUGGCAGGAUACUGGGAGGGGGUGGGCAAGGAACAGCGGCUGGAAUGGAUGAGGAGUGGGAGGGCUGGUGACAGGAAGGGAUGGUGAUGGUAAGAUGGGAUGGUACUGGAGUGGGAUUGUGGUGGGGUGGGAGAGUGAUGGGACAUGAUGGUGGCAGGAGAGGAUGGUGGUGGGAGAGGACAGUGACAAGGCAAGAUGGUGGGGAAGGUGGUGGGAUGGCUUGGCAGGGUAGGAUGGGACAGUGACAGGAAGGACAGGGUGGUGGGACGGUGGGAUGGGGAUGACAGCAGUGGGAGGUGAUGGCUGUGCAGGGCUGUGGUGGGAUGGGACCGAUGGGGCAGGAUGACGGAUGGGAUGGUGGUGGGAUGAGACGGCAGUGGGACGGCACAGCGAUGGUACAAUGAUGACAGAGGACGGUGGUGGGAGGAGAUGGUG